rnacentral:rRNA from 1 species
ACGGUGGGGUAACGGCCCACCGUGCCAAUAAUCGGUAUGGGUCAUGAGAGUGAGAACCCAGAGACGGAAUCUGAGACAAGAUUCCGGGCCCUACGGGGCGCAGCAGGCGCGAAACCUUUACACUGCACGACAGUGCGAUAGGGGGAUCCCAAGUGCACAGGCAUAGCGCCUGUGCUUUUUCGGUACCGUAAGGUGGUACCAGAAUAAGGGCUGGGCAAGACCGGUGCCAGCCGCCGCGGUAAUACCGGCAGCCCAAGUGAUGGCCGAUCUUAUUGGGCCUAAAGCGUCCGU